rfam:Oryza sativa (indica cultivar-group) chromosome 5, whole genome shotgun sequence.
AAAAAGGCAAACCGUGGGUUCCCGUGCCAACGUUUGACUGUCCGUCUUAUAUGAAAUUUUUUUAUAAUUAGUAUUUUCAUUGUUGUUAGAUGAUAAAACAUGAUUAAUACUUUAUGCGUGACUUAUCUUUUUAAUUUUGUUCAUAACUUUUUUAAAUAAGACGGACGGAUGGAGGGAGUACGCACUAAGA